rnacentral:rRNA from 1 species
ACCUACGGGGCGCAGCAGUAAGGAAUCUUCCACAAUGGGCGAAAGCCUGAUGGAGCAACGCCGCGUGGGUGAAGAAGGUCUUCGGAUCGUAAAACCCUGUUGUUAGAGAAGAAAGUGCGUGAGAGUAACUGUUCACGUUUCGACGGUAUCUAACCAGAAAGCCACGGCUAACUACGUGCCAGCAGCCGCGGUAACACGUAGGUGGCAAGCGUUAUCCGGAUUUAUUGGGCGUAAAGGGAACGCAGGCGGUCUUUUAAGUCUGAUGUGAAAGCCUUCGGCUUAACCGGAGUAGUGCAUUGGAAACU